CUGGCUCAGGACGAACGCUGGCGGCGUGCCUAAUACAUGCAAGUCGAACGGUCUUUCUAUGGAAGCUUGCUUCCACUGAGAAGAUAGUGGCGAACGGGUGAGUAACACGUGGGUAACCUGCCCAUAAGAGGGGGAUAACAUCCGGAAACGGGUGCUAAUACCGCAUAGUUUUCUUGAUCGCAUGAUUGAGAAAGGAAAGACGGCCUUUGUGCUGUCGCCUAUGGAUGGACCCGCGGCGUAUUAGUUAGUUGGUGAGGUAACGGCUCACCAAGACGAUGAUACGUAGCCGACCUGAGAGGGUGAUCGGCCACAUUGGGACUGAGACACGGCCCAAACUCCUACGGGAGGCAGCAGUAGGGAAUCUUCCGCAAUGGACGAAAGUCUGACGGAGCAACGCCGCGUGAGUGAAAGAAGGUUUUCGGAUCGUAAAACUCUGUUGUCAGAGAAGAACAAGUUGGAGAGUAACUGCUCCAGCCUUGACGGUAUCUGACCAGAAAGCCACGGCUAACUACGUGCCAGCCGCCGC
rnacentral:rRNA from 1 species